rnacentral:rRNA from 1 species
UGGGGAAUAUUGCGCAAUGGAGGAAACUCUGACGCAGCAACGCCGCGUGGGUGAUGAAGGUCUUCGGAUUGUAAAGCCCUGUCUUUUGGGACGAUAAUGACGGUACCAAAGGAGGAAGCCACGGCUAACUACGUGCCAGCAGCCGCGGUAAUACGUAGGUGGCAAGCGUUGUCCGGAUUUACUGGGCGUAAAGGGUGCGUAGGUGGAUAUUUAAGUCAGAUGUGAAACCCCCGGGCUUAACCUGGGACCUGCAUUUGAAACUGGAUAUCUAGAGUGCAGGAGAGGAAAGUGGAAUUCCUAGUGUAGCGGUGAAAUGCUUAGAUAUGACAUAGAACACCAAUUGCGAAGGCAGCUGGCUACUCGGAUAUUGACACUGAGGCACGAAAGCGUGGGGAUCAAACA